rnacentral:rRNA from 1 species
AUUGAACGCUGGCGGCAGGCCUAACACAUGCAAGUCGAGCGGAGCGGAGGACGGGUGAGUAAUGUCUAGGAAUCGGCCUGGUAGUGGGGGAUAACGUCCGGUAAAGGGCGCUACUACCGCAUACUAUCAGAUGAGCCAAGGUCGGAGUAGCUAGUUGGUGGGGUAAAGGCCUACCAAGGCGACGAUCCGUAACUGUUCUGAGAGGAUGAUCAGUCACACUGGAACUGAGACACGGUCCAUACUCCUACGGGAGGAAGCAGUGGGAAAUAUUGGACAAUGGGCGAAAGCCUGAUCCAGCCAUGCCGCGUGUGUGAAGAAGGUCUUCGGAUUGUAAAGCAUGUUAGGUUGAGAGGCGUUACCGACAGAAUAAGCACCGGCUAACUUCGUGCCAGCAGCCGCGGUAAUUC